rnacentral:rRNA from 1 species
AUUGAACGCUGGCGGCAUGCCUUACACAUGCAAGUCGAACGGCAGCACGGGGGCAACCCUGGUGGCGAGUGGCGAACGGGUGAGUAAUGCAUCGGAACGUACCCGGAAGUGGGGGAUAACGUAGCGAAAGUUACGCUAAUACCGCAUAUUCUGUGAGCAGGAAAGUGGGGGACCGCAAGGCCUCACGCUUUCGGAGCGGCCGAUGUCGGAUUAGCUAGUUGGCGGGGUAAAGGCCCACCAAGGCGACGAUCCGUAGCGGGUCUGGGAGGAUGAUCCGCCACACUGGGACUGAGACACGGCCCAGACUCCUACGGGAGGCAGCAGUGGGGAAUUUUGGACAAUGGGCGCAAGCCUGAUCCAGCCAUGCCGCGUGAGUGAAGAAGGCCUUCGGGUUGUAAAGCUCUUUCGGCGGGGAAGAAAUUGCUUAGGUUAAUACCUUGAGUAGAUGACGGUACCCGCAUAAGAAGCACCGGCUAACUACGUGCCAGCCGCCGCAGUAAAAC